rnacentral:rRNA from 1 species
UACAGAGGUCCCAAGCGUUGUUCGGAUUCACUGGGCGUAAAGGGUGCGUAGGUGGUCGGGUAAGUCUGAUGUGAAAUCUCCGAGCUUAACUCGGAAACUGCAUCGGAUACUAUUCGGCUCGAGGGUUGGAGGGGGGACUGGAAUGCUUGGUGUAGCAGUGAAAUGCGUAGAUAUCAAGCGGAACACCAGUGGCGAAGGCGGCAUCCUGGACCGACACUGACGCUGAGGCGCGAAAGCUAGGGUAGCAAACGGG